rnacentral:rRNA from 1 species
AUUGAACGCUGGCGGCAUGCUCUACACAUGCAAGUCGAACGGUAACAGGCCGCAAGGUGCUGACGAGUGGCGCACGGGUGAGUAAUGCAUCGGAACGUGCCCAGUCGUGGGGGAUAACUACUCGAAAGAGUAGCUAAUACCGCAUACGAUCUAUGGAUGAAAGCGGGGGACCGUAAGGCCUCGCGCGAUUGGAGCGGCCGAUGUCAGAUUAGGUAGUUGGUGGGGUAAAGGCUCACCAAGCCAACGAUCUGUAGCUGGUCUGAGAGGACGACCAGCCACACUGGGACUGAGACACGGCCCAGACUCCUACGGGAGGCAGCAGUGGGGAAUUUUGGACAAAGGGCGCAAGCCUGAUCCAGCAAUGCCGCGUGCAGGAAGAAGGCCUUCGGGUUGUAAACUGCUUUUGUACGGAACGAAACGGCUCUGGUUAAUACCCGGGGCUAAUGACGGUACCGUAAGAAUAAGCACCGGCUAACUACGUG